AUUGAACGCUGGCGGCAUGCCUUACACAUGCAAGUCGAACGGCAGCACGGGGCAACCUGGUGGCGGGUGGCGAACGGGUGAGUAAUGUAUCGGAACGUACCUUUCAGUGGGGGAUAACGUAGCGAAAGUUACGCUAAUACCGCAUAUUCUGUGAGCAGGAAAGCAGGGGAUCGCAAGACCUUGCGCUGAUUGAGCGGCCGAUAUCAGAUUAGCUAGUUGGUGAGGUAAAGGCUCACCAAGGCGACGAUCUGUAGCGGGUCUGAGAGGAUGAUCCGCCACACUGGAACUGAGACACGGUCCAGACUCCUACGGGAGGCAGCAGUGGGGAAUUUUGGACAAUGGGGGCAACCCUGAUCCAGCCAUGCCGCGUGAGUGAAGAAGGCCUUCGGGUUGUAAAGCUCUUUCGGCCGGGAAGAAAUCGUAUCAGCUAAUACCUGGUGUGGAUGACGGUACCGGCAUAAGAAGCACCGGCUAACUACGUGCCAGCCGCCGCGGUAACAC
rnacentral:rRNA from 1 species